GAUCCGACAAACGGCCUCUGCAUAGUGCAGAACAUUCUGCUGCUCUUAAAGACCCUCAUCCCUCCCGUGGGAGCCCCCUUUGGACACUCUAUGACCCUGGACCCUCGGGGGACCUGAACUUGAUGCGAUGGGAGGCUGUGCAGGCUCGCGGCGGCGCUUUUCGGAUUCCGAGGGCUGCUGGGCCUUUGCAACAACUUCUCUUAUGUGGUGAUGCUGAGUGCUGCCCACGACAUCCUUAGCCACAAGAGGACAUCGGGAAACCAGAGCCAUGUGGACCCAGGCCCAACGCCGAUGCCCCACAACAGCUCAUCACGAUUUGACUGCAACUCUGUCUCUACGGCUGCUGUGCUCCUGGCGGACAUCCUCCCCACACUCGUCAUCAAAUUGUUGGCUCCUCUUGGCCUUCACCUGCUGCCCUACAGCCCCCGGGUUCUCGUCAGUGGGAUUUGUGCUGCUGGAAGCUUCGUCCUGGUUGCCUUUUCUCAUUCUGUGGGGACCAGCCUGUGUGGUGUGGUCUUCGCUAGCAUCUCAUCAGGCCUUGGGGAGGUCACCUUCCUCUCCCUCACUGCCUUCUACCCCAGGGCCGUGAUCUCCUGGUGGUCCUCAGGGACUGGGGGAGCUGGGCUGCUGGGGGCCCUGUCCUACCUGGGCCUCACCCAGGCCGGCCUCUCCCCUCAGCAGACCCUGCUGUCCAUGCUGGGUAUCCCUGCCCUGCUGCUGGCCAGCUAUUUCUUGUUGCUCACAUCUCCUGAGGCCCAGGACCCUGGAGGGGAAGAAGAGGCAGAGAGCGCAGCCCGGCAGCCCCUCAUAAGAACCGAGGCCCCGGAGUCGAAGCCAGGCUCCAGCUCCAGCCUCUCCCUUCGGGAAAGGUGGACAGUGUUCAAGGUUCGGAUGAUGGCUGGGGUAUGUCCCUGUGGGGCUUGCUCACCUCCAGGCCCCCCGCUUAUAUCUUCUGCCUUUUCCAGGGUCUGCUGUGGUACAUUGUUCCCUUGGUCGUAGUUUACUUUGCCGAGUAUUUCAUUAACCAGGGACUUUUUGAACUCCUCUUUUUCCGGAACACUUCCCUGAGUCACGCUCAGCAAUACCGCUGGUAAGAGGAGCGAGGGCAGUGGGCUGGGAGGGCGCCGUGGUGAUGCAGCUGCCCUGCCCAGUAGGCACCGGGGGGAGCGGGAUGGUCCCUGGAGGAGCCUCCUCUCCUACCCUCAACCCUAACCUCAGGUACCAGAUGCUGUACCAGGC
rnacentral:sRNA from 1 species